CCGGGCUUGAAAAAUAUCGAUGUUCUAAGAGGAUACGUAUUUUAUACUGACUGCAAUAUAUUUUAUUCAUGUAUGAACAACAAACCUCGUCGUUUACAAUGCGAUGAGUAUUUCGCUUUUGACGAGGGCACUCAGUCUUGCAUUCCGGCACAUUUUGUAAUGUCUUGUACUAAAACACAAAAAUUAUAGCUUUCAGUGUUAUAAGACGAAAAGCUAACGGAGAAUACCUUACAAGAGAUCAACCUAUUAUAUUUACUGAAUUUAAGGACCGACCUAAAGUAAUUCUGUAAUUUGAUAUUAUUCUUCAUCAAAAAAUAAAAUAUAAAAUAAACAAACAAUAAGUGAAA